UUCAGUUUAGCUAGCAGUUCAGCCUGGGGAUGGAAGACAGACUAUGAAAGAGACAAAGAUAGGUAAAAAAAAAAAAACAUGGAAAACGUUGAGAGAAUAAUGGUCUUUUAAGGGCCUAUUGUUUGGAGCAACAUUUGGAUAGUCCUUAAACAAUUCAACUCUCCUGGAAAACGCAUAAGGACAGAGGUGUGUUCCUGCACAAUGCCUUCACCUCUAGCUCCAGCUAAGGCGCAGGCAGCGCACACGCCAUACACCAGGCCCGCCGGUGUCCCCUGGAUGGCGACGCGCUGCCUUCGCCUUCCCACCUCACCCAUCGCCCCCCUUCUCCAGACACAAGCGAAAGGGAAAGCGAGGGCCCUACCUCCCUACCUCCCGCCGCACACCGCCCGAGGGCCUGGCGGGACACGACCCUGCCCUGGCAGGCAGCCCGCGGCCGAGGAGCCCCCUCCCCGCCCCUCGGGGCCCUGCCGCCGCCUCCCCUCCCCCGCGGCUCCCUCCCAGGCACGGGAAUAAGGGGAAGUGGGAGAACCGGGGGCGCCAUUUUGAGGCGGCGAGGCGCCUCCGACACAGCGGCCUCCGCAGCCCGCAGGCCCGCACCUCAGCGGCCCGGCCGCCCCGCGGCUCCUCAGGGCGGCGGGGGGGCGCCCUCCGAGCCCAGCCCAGCCCAGCCCAGCCCAGCCCGGCCCGGCCUGCCCCACCUCACCCGGCCACACACGGCGUCUGUCCGUUCGCCCGUCCCUCUGUCUGUCUGUCCGGCCGGGCUGCAGCAGGAGGAGGGCGCGAGGAGGGCAGGGGGGAGGCGGCCCCGCGGUGGGGGCGAGGGGCGGGGGCGCAGCCGGGCCUCACCCAGAGGCCGCCGCCGACUUCCGCCGCCUCCUGCGCCCCGACCCAAACACCCGCACGCACACACACGCACACGUAGUUCCGCCGCCGCCUCCACGUCACGGCCCGCACGCCGCGUGCGCUUCCGCCUCCCUUUCCCCCUCCUCCAUUUUCUCCCCCCCCCCUCCCCGCUCAGGGGCUGGGCA
rnacentral:lncRNA from 1 species